rnacentral:rRNA from 1 species
CUCCGGUUGAUCCCCGCCGGACCCGACUGCUAUCAGAGUGGGACUAAGCCAUGCGAGUCAACGUAGCAAUACGUGGCAUACGGCUCAGUAACACGUAGUCAACAUGCCCAGGGGACGAGGAUAACCUCGGGAAACUGAGGAUAAACCUCGAUAGGCCAUGAUUUCUGGAAUGAUUCUUGGCUCAAACCUAUAUGGCCCCUGGAUUGGACUGCGGCCGAUCAGGCUGUUGGUGAGGUAAUGGCCCACCAAACCUAUUACCGGUACGGGCUCUGAGAGGAGGAGCCCGGAGAUGGGCACUGAGACAAGGGCCCAGGCCCUAUGGGGCGCAGCAGGCGCGAAACCUCUGCAAUAGGCGAAAGCUUGACAGGGUUACUCUGAGUGAUUUCCGCUAAGGGAAUCUUUUGGCACCUCUAAAAAUGGUGCAGAAUAAGGGGUGGGCAAGUCUGGUGUCAGCCGCCGCGGUAAUACCAGCACCCCGAGUGGUCGGGACGAUUAUUGGGCCUAAAGCAUCCGUAGCCGGUCCUGCAAGUCUUCCGUUAAAUCCAGCUGCUCAACAGAUGGGCUGCGGGAGAUACUACAGGGCUAGGAGGCGGGAGAGGCAAGCGGUACUUUAUGGGUAGGGGUAAAAUCCGCUGAUCCAUAGAAGACCACCAGUGGCGAAGGCGGCUUGCCAGAACGCGCUCGACGGUGAGGGAUGAAAGCUGGGGGAGCAAACCGGAUUAGAUACCCGGGUAGUCCCAGCUGUAAACGAUGCAGACUCGAUGAUGGGUUGGCCUCGCGCCUGCCCAGUGCCGCAGGGAAGCCGUUAAGUCUGCCGCCUGGGGAGUACGGUCGCAAGACUGAAACUUAAAGGAAUUGGCGGGGGAGCA